UACGUAGGGUGCGAGCGUUGUCCGGAAUUAUUGGGCGCAAAGAGCUCGUAGGCGGUUUGUCGCGUCGACUGUGAAAACCCGAGGCUUAACCUCGGGCCUGCAGUCGAUACGGGCAGACUAGAGUUCGGUAGGGGAGACUGGAAUUCCUGGUGUAGCGGUGAAAUGCGUAGAUAUGCGGAGGAACACCGAUGGCGAAGGCAAUCCCCUGGACCUGUACUGACGCUCAUGCACGAAAGCGUGGGGAAGCAACAGG
rnacentral:rRNA from 1 species